rnacentral:tRNA from 1 species
GCCUUUAUGGUGCAGUGGUCAGCACGCUGGAUGCAUAUUCCAGAAGUCCAUGGUUCGAGUCCCGACGAAGGCG